rnacentral:lncRNA from 1 species
CGGACUCCUACAGGAGCCGGACUCUGCCAACAACGUCAACUGCAAGCGGACUCCUACGGGAGCCGGACCUCUCCUUCGACCCUAAUCACGAGGGGACUUCGUCCGGGCUCCUACGAGAGCCGGACUCCGUCUUCAACUUCGACGGCCACAGACAGACUAUGUCCGGACUCCGUCCGGACCCCCACGGGAGCCGGGCUCCACCCACGACCCCGAUCGCAAGGAGGACUCCGCCCGGAUCCAUACGAGGGACGAACUCCAAUCGCUGCCGAGCUUCAGCCAGCAGAUCUGCACUCCCAGGCCACAAUCACGGCCACGAUCCUGCUCCACUUCCUGCGGCGGACUCCGUGUAGCUCCAUCACUCCCUGACAGGCCACAGUAACGGUCGCAACACUGCUCCACUCUCUGCGGUGGAUCCCGCGCCCACGCGGCUCCAUUACUGCCUGACAGGCCACGAUAAAUGGCCGCGAUCCUGCUCCACCUCCUGCAGCAGAUAUCGCACGAUUCUCCCAUCCACUGGCAAGACGCCGCAGCAUCUGCAUCCCACUUCCCACGGCAGAUUCCAUGUGGCGCGCCCCAGUGAUGGCCACGGCUCCGCUCCACUACUCUUCGCAGUAGAUUCCUCCUGACUAAGGGCGGCCCACUACCUGGCGG